UUUCCGUAGGUGAACCUGCGGAAGGAUCAUUAUUGUAUAACCGAGGUGCAAGGGCUGUCGCUGACCCGAAAGGUCAUGCACGCCCGAGUGCCCUCACACACAUCCAUCUCACCCCUAUGUGCACCACCGCGUGGGUCCCCCUUUGGCUUGUUCGGAGGGGGGCUUACGUUUUCACACAAACUUUGAAUGCAGUGUAGAAUGUAUUUUUUGUUUUUGCGAUCACGCAAUCAAUACAACUUUCAACAACGGAUCUCUUGGCUCUC
rnacentral:misc_RNA from 1 species